UACGUAGGGGGCAAGCGUUGUCCGGAAUUAUUGGGCGUAAAGGGCACGCAGGCGGUCCUUUAAGUCUGAUGUGAAAUCUUGCGGCUUAACCGCAAGCUGUCAUUGGAAACUGAAGGACUUGAGUGCAGAAGAGGAGAGUGGAAUUCCACGUGUAGCGGUGAAAUGCGUAGAGAUGUGGAGGAACACCAGUGGCGAAGGCGACUCUCUGGUCUGCAACUGACGCUGAGGUGCGAAAGCGUGGGUAGCGAACAGGAUUA
rnacentral:rRNA from 1 species